UGAAAGAGAGGAGAGAGAGAGAGAGAGAGAGAGAGAGAGAGAGAGAGAAAGAGAGAGAGACCUCCUGUGUUUCUUUGGUCACCAACCCCAAAACUGGGCUUCAUAAGAAGAGAGAAAAGAAAGAAAAUGGUUUUCUAUUUCCAGAAAUAAACAUCUCACCAGCAAAUGCCUCUGUACCUCUCUCUCUCUCUCUCUCUCUCUCUCUCUCUCUCUCCUACUUCAUCU
rnacentral:miRNA from 1 species